UACGUAGGGGGCGAGCGUUGUCCGGAUUUAUUGGGCGUAAAGAGCUCGUGGGCGGUUCGGUUAGUCGGAUGUGAAAUCUCCACGCUCAACGUGGAGGGGCCAUUCGAUACUGCCGUGACUAGAGUCCGGUAGGGGAGUGUGGAAUUCCCGGUGUAGCGGUGAAAUGCGCAGAGAUCGGGAGGAACACCCGUAGCGAAGGCGGCACUCUGGGCCGGAACUGACGCUGAGGAGCGAAAGCGUGGGGAGCGAACAGG
rnacentral:rRNA from 1 species